AACACGUUUGUUGAUAUUCAAAACAAAAAUCGCCAGAUCGUCGGCUACGUAUUCUAAAUUAGUAAUUAUUUACCAGUGGUUUUCUUAAUUAUUAUUCCAGUGAGGACCAAUGGAUAACUCAAAAACUGAAAAACUACUCCACACAGACUUCAAAUAUGAGGGAAAAAGGCAAGGCAGAGGGAGAAUAGACGAUUAGGGCCUUAUGCUGCCACUGGGGCAAGAGGAUAUGGCAUUUUAAAAAAGGAAAGAUUGUUCGACGAACCAAAUAAACCAACUACUUCAAGGAAGUUGCCUAUUAAACGAAGGGCUAAUAGAGUAAAAAAAGGAAUUACUCAGAUAUCAACAGAAUCACAAUCUUCUGGUUGCAAAGAGAAUUCUUGUAACCAAAUUCAAGAUCCUGAUGAUUCCAUAUACGAAAAUCAAGGUCUCUAUGUGGUACCUACACAAACUGAAGAAGCAGCCAAACAACUGGGUGUGCUCAAAGAGAGAAUUGAGAGAAUGCGAGAAGAAGCAAAGAUUGAAAAUGCUGCUAUUGAAAACCUGACAAAAAAAAUCAUACGUCAAAACUUGGGCAAAAAGAAGAGAGG